UACGGGGGGAGCAAGCGUUGUUCGGAUUUACUGGGCGUAAAGGGCGCGUAGGCGGCGUAACAAGUCACUUGUGAAAUCUCCGGGCUUAACCCGGAGCGGCCAAGUGAUACUGUUGUGCUAGAGUGCAGAAGGGGCAAUCGGAAUUCUUGGUGUAGCGGUGAAAUGCGUAGAUAUCAAGAGGAACACCUGAGGUGAAGACGGGUUGCUGGGCUGACACUGACGCUGAGGCGCGAAAGCCAGGGGAGCAAACGGG
rnacentral:rRNA from 1 species